UCUCUAAUGCGCCGAUGCUGGGUCCCAAGUCCCAGAGGAAGAAAGCAGAGGGGAGA
rnacentral:ribozyme from 2 species